GAGAUAGCUCAGUUGGUAAAGUGCUUGCCUGGUAAGCAGGAAGACUUGAGUUUGAUUCCCAGGACUCA
rnacentral:tRNA from 1 species